rfam:Homo sapiens chromosome 6 genomic contig, GRCh38 reference assembly alternate locus group ALT_REF_LOCI_2.
GGGGGUAUAGCUCAGUGGUAGAGCGCGUGCUUAGCAUGCACGAGGUCCUGGGUUCGAUCCCCAGUACCUCCA